rnacentral:tRNA from 1 species
GGAGAUUUAGGUUAAUAAGACCAAAGACCUUCAAAGUCUUCAGUGAAGGUUAAACGCCAUCAAUUUCCG